rnacentral:rRNA from 1 species
UACGAAGGGGGCGAGCGUUGUUCGGAUUUACUGGGCGUAAAGGGCGCGCAGGCGGCCGUUUUUGUCGAGUGUGAAAGCCCGGGCUCAACCUGGGAACUGCGCUCGAAACGGGAUGGCUAGAGAUCGGGAGAGGAGAGUGGAAUUCCCAGUGUAGAGGUGAAAUUCGUAGAUAUUGGGAAGAACACCGGUGGCGAAGGCGGCUCUCUGGACCGAUACUGACGCUGAGGCGCGAAAGCGUGGGGAGCAAACAGG